AACGAACGCUGGCGGCAUGCCUAACACAUGCAAGUCGAACGAGAUCUUCGGGUCUAGUGGCGCACGGGUGCGUAACGCGUGGGAAUCUGCCCUUUGGUUCGGAAUAACAGUUGGAAACGACUGCUAAUACCGGAUGAUGACGAAAGUCCAAAGAUUUAUCGCCAGAGGAUGAGCCCGCGUGGGAUUAGCUAGUUGGUGUGGUAAAGGCGCACCAAGGCGACGAUCCUUAGCUGGUCUGAGAGGAUGAUCUGCCACACUGGGACUGAGACAUGGCCCAGACUCCUACGGGAGGCAGCAGUGGGGAAUAUUGGACAAUGGGCGAAAGCCUGAUCCAGCAAUGCCGCGUGAGUGAUGAAGGCCCUAGGGUUGUAAAGCUCUUUUACCCGGGAUGAUAAUGACAGUACCGGGAGAAUAAACCCCGGCUAACUCCGUGCCAGCCGCCGCAGUAA
rnacentral:rRNA from 1 species